UCCAGCCGCCUCGGAUUACCGCGCCCAGGGAGUUAGAGUGGCGUGCGAGGGUGGUAGGGUGAGGGGCUCGGCCUCCGCUGGGAGCUGAGCAAUUCACCGCCGGCCUGCGGCGCGGGCGGCCCUGGCCAUGGCGGCCGCGUUUCCUCCCGGUACCCGGAGAGCAGGCUGAGGAGGACUGGCCCGAAGCUGAGGGUCGCGGAAGCUGUGUGGUGCUCCUGCCUGUGAGCUUAGGAGGCGCUGCGAUGAGCGUCGGUGUCUGAGCGCCGUGGGGUUGCCAGUGAAUGUAUGCCCAGCACUCCUGAGGCCUGUGCUAUUCAUGAUACUGCUUUCCAAGCAGUCAGAAGUUUCAGCUGUUGUUGAGAUGCAGCUGUCGUCUUAUCCUCCCGGGAUAUUUCCGUGAACAAAAACUGAAGCUCUCUGCAGGCUUUUUGGUACUAUUACAGAGCAAGAAGACACUGUGGUGUUCCUGUAACAAGCCUAUUGUUCUGUACCAACAUCAAAAAUAGCCUGAAAGUUCUUAGCUUGAGAAGAAUGGCUUAAAGGUCAAUGUAAGCUAACCCUUCCAUAGCCAUAACGAACUAUACAUAAAAUUAAAGCCAUACAGAAGAUUUAUCUUACAGUGCAAGUAAUAUUGCACCUUUAAAGAAACAGUCAAGGAUCUGCCUCCUGCUAGCAAGAGGGUUUAAUGGCAUCCAACACAGCUGCUCAGGUUUAGGUGCAGAAAGCUGUUGUGGGGGCACUUUACUUUGAUUCCACCUGGGAAACGUUGCGUGUCACUGUUCACACAUUCAGCUGGCAUUCCCAGUUUUUCGCCAUCAAGCAGGGGUUAGAUGGUGCAGCAAAACCCGCAGAGUUUGCCGGACACCUCCCUGCCUAUACUGCCCUGCUGCCUGCACACUGAGGAUCGGAGGCCCCGCUUUUAAUUCAGACUAGGUUAUACCAGAGGCAGCCCUUCCCACCAGCUGCAGCUUGGCGCUCGGGACAGGCAGAGCUGAGAGCGCUGCCGGCUGAGAGGAGGCACUGCCCCGCCCUGCGCACCGCCCCGGCCCGGGAGCAGUUUGACGCUCCGGCGGGUGCGGGAGGAGGGGAGAGGCGGUGGCGGGCGGCGCUUGCGCGGUGCGGAGCAAGGGCACAUCUUUCUGCGGCGCUGCUUGAGGCGAACGGUUUUGGUUGCAGGGGUGGGCAGUGAUGCUGCGUGCUGGGCUGAGAAGAAGCAUCUGCCUGUAUGGCGGCGGUUUGCGGAGGAGUCUGUGCCCCGUAGCUGCCGACAGCAGUGCUUCGCCGCGCUGCUCCAGAGCCCUGAGCGCCGCCUCGGCUAGCAAUGGCGGUGGGGCGCGGGGCGGAGGCGAUACCCCGGCAGGUGUCAGUAAGGUAAAGCCGUUGGAUGGUGUGAAAAUUCUUGAUUUAACAAGGGUACUUGCAGGGCCCUUUGCCACAAUGAAUUUAGGAGAUCUGGGUGCUGAAGUUAUCAAAGUGGAAAGACCAGGAGUUGGUGAUGACACAAGAGCCUGGGGCCCACCUUUUGCUGGCACAGAGAGUGUUUAUUUUCUCAGUGUUAAUAGAAAUAAAAAGAGUAUCGCUAUCAACAUGAAGGACUCAAAAGGAGCAAAGCUAAUCAGAGAGCUUGCAGCACUGUCUGAUGUUUUUGUGGAAAACUUCAUUCCUGGAAAGCUGGCUGAACUGGGUCUAGGUUAUGAAGACAUCAAAAAGAUUGCUCCUCACAUAGUGUACUGCUCAGUUACAGGUUAUGGUCAGACUGGUCCAAUGGUUCAGAGAGCUGGAUAUGACUCCAUUGCAGCUGCUGUUUCUGGUCUCAUGCAUAUCACAGGACAUGAGGAUGAUGAGCCAGUUAGACCAGGAGUAGCCAUGACAGAUCUUGCUACUGGGUUGUAUACAUAUGGAGCAAUUAUGGCUGGUUUACUUCAGAGGUACAAGACAGGGAAAGGACUGCACAUUGACUGCAACCUCUUGUCAUCUCAGGUUGCAUGUCUCACUCACAUAGCAGCUAAUUACCUUAACUGCAAAAUUGAAGCAAAACGCUGGGGUACUGCUCAUGGAACUAUUGUUCCCUAUCAGGCUUUUAAGACCAUGGAUGGCUACCUCGUGGUGGGAGCUGGAAAUGAUCAGCAGUUUGUCACUGUGUGCAAGAUCUUGAAUUUGCCUGAAGUUAGUAAGGAUUCCAGAUACAAAACGAAUACACUCAGAGUCCAGAACAGAAAAGAACUUAUUGACAUAUUGUCAACCCGGUUUUCAGAAAAAGCCACGAGGGAGUGGUUGCAGCUCUUUGAAGGUAGUGGAGUCCCAUAUGGCCCAAUCAACAACAUGCAGCAAGUAUUCUCAGAGCCUCAGGUGCUGCACAAUGGACUUGUGAUGGAAAUGAAUCAUCCAACAGCUGGAAGGAUAGCUGUUCCAGGAUCUUAUCCCUUGUAUGAGGUGUCCUCAGGAAGACUUUGAAGUACUUGAUCCUUUUCGGGAUCUGUUGUCUGUGUGGUGGGGAGAAACUCAGACAAGGACAGACCAGGUGUCAGAUACAGUGAAUUUGCUGUGUCACAUCCGAAGCCACCUCCCCUUGUUGGACAGCAUACAGUUGAGAUAUUGAAGGGC